rnacentral:rRNA from 1 species
AGAGAGAGACAUGCGCGCAUAUCAAUAAGCGGAGGAAAAGAAACUAACAAGGAUUCCCUUAGUAACGGCGAGUGAAGCGGGAAGAGCUCAAAUUUGAAAUCUUCAAGGUUUUACCUUGACGAAUUGUAGUUUAAAGAAGUGUUUUCUGCUGAAGUUUUGGUAAAAGUUCUUUGGAAUAGGACAUCAUAGAGGGUGAGAAUCCCGUAUUUGACCAUUAUUUUCAGCUUUGUGAUACACUUUCAAAGAGUCGGAUUGUUUGGGAAUGCAGUCCAAAAUGGGUGGUAAAUUUCAUCUAAAGCUAAAUAUUGGCGAGAGACCGAUAGCGAACAGGUACCGUGAGGGAAAGAUGAAAAGAACUUUGAAAAGAGAGUUAAACAGUACGUGAAAUUGUCAAAAGGGAAGCGUUUGACACCAGUGUUGUUUUCUCGAAAAUCAAUUAAAAAUGGCAGACUUUGUAUGUUGUAUUGACUUUAUCAAGCUUCACUGCUACAUCUUUUCGUGUCUUUUUUAAUGCACUUUUCGUUUAACAAGUCAACAUCAGUUUCUUUUGUUGUAAAAGGGUCAUUGGAAGGUGGCUUUCUUUUCGGAGAAAGUGUUUAUAGCCUUUGGCCUCUGCAAUCGGAAGAGACUGAGGUCUGCAGCGUAGACUCUUCGGGGUUAGAUACAUUUGUGCUAUGUUAUAGCUUUUUAUAGACAACUUGUUGACUAUAAUUAGUCUUGUAGCUUACUCGCUUAUGCUAUUUUACCUACGCUUAGGAUGUUGAGUCGUAGAGCACGCAG